AUUUUUAGCAUUCAUGAUCUCUAUCCUGUGUGGUACUGUUCUUAUUGAUAAACAGAGUUGCUUUUGAGUCUGUGAAGCAGUGUUUUUGAGCUCUGUGCGCUAGAUUUUGUGCUUUAAAGCUAUAGAAUUCUCUUCAUUUUGUGUUUCCUUCUAUCACUUCCCUCUGCAAUUUGCAGACCGUCAGAAUUUUCUUCAUUUGUAAAAAGCUGCAUUUUACGCAUUAAGUACCGCAUUUAAAAGAGUACAUCAUCAGAGAAUGCG
rnacentral:misc_RNA from 1 species